rnacentral:lncRNA from 1 species
GAGCAUGCGAGUGAGCAGGUGCGGGCCCCAGAGUGAACCAACGCUGGAACUGGCCAAUCACUCCUCUCUGGUGGGAGCAGGCUCUGUGCAGGCCCUGCAUCGGUGUCCAACCAAUGCUCUUUGAGCUCUGCCAUCCUGGGACAGCCAAGUGCCAACCAGCUCAGUGGAGGAUGGCAGCCCUUGCCCUCUCUGCACCCAGGUUCUUGUCCGGCAUCCAGGAAGAAUCAGGUCUCACAAAUGGCUUGAAAGGCAGUGUAUGUGGAGGAUUUUAUUGGGCAAUGGAAGUGGCUCUCAGCGGGAUAGGGAGUUGGAAAGAGGAUGGUGCCCAAAGAAGGUGAUGUUUCCCUGAAGCCUGGCUGUUUCCAGCCAGACCCCUCUCCAAAGCUGCACCGGCUGAAGUUAGCCAUAUCUUUCCAUAGUCUCUGAUGCUCAGUUGCUUCUCUGCUUGCCAUUAAAUCACUUGAAUCCCUGAUGCUUAGCAGCUUGUAUCCCGAGCACUCAGCCGCUUGUGUUGCUCUGCCAGCUGAAGUCUUUUUAUGGGCACAGGAUGGGGCAUGGAAGGCCAAAAAGGCGUCAUUUGGGUGGAAAAACAGGGUCAGCUGUUUUCACUUAGGGCCACAGUUCCAGGCUCAAGGGUGGGGUUUAGUCGGGAGCCCAGUCCUUCUGUAUCAAUACCAAAGACUGCCAUAAUGGAAAUGCCAAAACUGCUAUAGUAAAAUACCAAAGACUGGAUGGCUUAUAACCAACGUUUAUUUCUCACCGUUCUGGAGGCUGGGAAGUCCAAGGUGCUGGCAGGUGCGGUGCUUGGUGAGGGCCAGCUUCCUAGUUCAGACUUGGUUCAGUUUUUUGGUUUGUCCUCAUGAAUGUUGCUCUUCCAACCCAUUCCAU